AGGUAAUGUGACCAAGCUAAUAAGUGCAUAUGGUGGAUGCCUUGGCUAAGACUGUCGAUGAAGGACGUGAUAAGCUGCGUUAAGCGUCGGGGAGGUGCAAACAACCUUUGAUCCGGCGAUUUCCGAAUGGGGUAACCCACUGCAGAGUAAUCUACAGUAUCCGAGAGGAAGGCAACCCGGGGAAGUGAAACAUCUCAGUACCCGGAGGAAAAGAAAUCAACCGAGAUACCGAGAGUAGUGGCGAGCGAAAUCGGUAUAGCCUAAACCAUUGUGCUUGCACAAUGGGGUUGCAGGACCGCAUGAGUAGAGUUACCAAUCAAAAAGCUAAUUGAACGGUUUGGAAAAUCCGACCAUAGAAGGUGAGAGUCCUGUAAGUGAAAGUUUUUUGACUCGAAGCGGUAUCCUAAGUACCGUCGGACACGUGAAAUCCGGCGGGAAUCUGGGGGGACCACCCUCCAAGGCUAAAUACAAGUCUUAGACCGAUAGUGAACUAGUACCGUGAGGGAAAGGCGAAAAGAACCGCGGGAGCGGAGUGAAAUAGAACCUGAAACCGUAUGCAUACAAGCAGUUCGAGGCUUAUGCCGGAAACGCAAGUGACCGGAAUGGCUGAGAGCGUGCCUGUUGAAGAAUGAUCCGGCGAGUUAUUGGUAGGUGCAAGGUUAAUUAUUAUGUUUAUGCAUAUUAAGCAGCCGUAGCGAAAGCAAGUCUGAAAGGGCGAAUAGUACCUAUCAUUAGACCCGAAGCCAAGUGAUCUAUGCCUGGACAGAGUGAAUCCCCUUUAAUCGGGGGAGGAGGCUCGAAGCGUCGACCGUUAAAAAGGUCUUGCAUGAGCUGGGUAUAGGGGUGAAAGGCCAAUCUAACUUGGUGAUAGCUGGUUCUCCUCGAAAUAGUUUUUGGACUAGCCUGGAGCGUUAAACCAGAGAGGUAGAGCACUGGAUAGCUUAGUGAGUGUAACCCACUUUGCAAUGCUAACCAAACUCCGAAUUCUCUGGUGUAUUUCUCUGGAGUCAGUACGUGUGGGAUAAGCUUCACGUGCAAAAGGGAAACAGCCCAGACCAUCAAUUAAGGUCCCCAAAUAUAUGCUAAGUGGUAAAGGAUGUGGAAUUUCUUAGACAGCUAGGAGGUUGGCUUAGAAGCAGCCAUCCUUUAA
rnacentral:rRNA from 1 species